AAGGAUAACGGGUAACGCCCGCCGAAGGCGACUUCAGGAAAAGUGCAACAGAGAGAUACCGCCCCGCUGUCCCUUGAGGAAGGCGCCGGGAGGCCGAGUUGACAACAAUCACAUUUUGUUGGCGAUGACGCGGAACGGGCUGCGGGGUAAGGGUGGAAAGGUGGGGUAAGAGCCCACCCAUCGGCUGGAGACUGUCCGAUGCUGUAAACUCUAUCCGGAGCAACACCGUGGGAGGACAAACAGGCUGGCCCGGCCGUCCUCAGGAGGUGGCUUGAGCGCACCGGCAACGAUGCGCCUAGAUAGAUGACUGUCAAAUACAGAACCCGGCUUACAGUUUUGCUCGCAAU
rnacentral:RNase_P_RNA from 1 species